CGACUGGGCCACCCAGGCGCUCCUGAAACCUACUUUUGAUCCCUCUCCUCCCGCGCACCCCAUUAAUAGCAUCACUGACCUUCCAGGUAUCAAGGAGAUAAUCGACUUCAGGAAUGACAAGUGGUUGGAUUCCAUGUGCUCAGAAGGAAUCUAAAACAAGCCUUCAGGCUGAGCUCAACUCAUGUGCCCGUGACCACGAGGGAUAAAGGUUACUAGUCCCUCCUGUAUAGUCGGCAUUCAGCAAAUACCUGUGGACUGAAUUAUGACUGGAAUGAAGACUCAAGAUGGAAAAACAUGUGUCCCCUGUGAUGGGGCCCUGAGGAGCUGGGACAAGGGGGUGUGUUGGGUGGUUGCCCUGAGACCCUGAAAUGAUGCUGGAAAGGUGAGUGCCUGAGGGAUUUGCCCGGGUGCUCCAGUCUCCCCUCUUCACAGGCUUGGGACAUUCAGUCAGCCAAGCCUCCUGUGAAAUUUGGUGAGUUGCU